rnacentral:rRNA from 1 species
UACGUAGGGGGCUAGCGUUGUCCGGAAUCAUUGGGCGUGAAGAGCGUGUAGGCGGCCCGGUAAGUCCGCUGUAAAAGUCAAAGGCUCAACCUUUGAAUGUCAGUGGAUACUGCCGGGCUAGAGUCCGGAAGAGGCGAGUGGAACUCCUGGUGUAGCGGUGGAAUGCGCAGAUAUCAGGAAGAACACCAACGGCGAAGGCAGCUCGCUAGGACGGUACUGACGCUGAGACGCGAAAGCGUGGGGAGCGAACAGG